UACGGAAGGCAGCAGUGGGGAAUAUUGCACAAUGGGCGAAAGCCUGAUGCAGCUAUGCCGCGUGUAUGAAGAAGGCCUUAGGGUUGUAAAGUACUUUCAGUCGUGAGGAAGGUGUUAAGGUUAAUAACCUUAGCAAUUGACGUUAGCGACAGAAGAAGCACCGGCUAACUCCGUGCCAGCAGCCGCGGUAAUACGGAGGGUGCGAGCGUUAAUCGGAAUUACUGGGCGUAAAGGGCACGCAGGCGGUUAAUUAAGUUGGAUGUGAAAUCCCCGGGCUUAACCUGGGAAUGGCAUUCAAGACUGGUUAGCUAGAGUCUUGUAGAGGGGGUAGAAUUCCAUGUGUAGCGGUGAAAUGCGUAGAGAUGUGGAGGAAUACCGGUGGCGAAGGCGGCCCCUGGACAAAGACUGACGCUCAUGUGCGAAAGCGUGGGGAGCAAAC
rnacentral:rRNA from 1 species